rnacentral:rRNA from 1 species
GCGUAACAAGGUUUCCGUAGGCUGAUACCUGUGGAAGGAAAUCUUGUCGAAACGUUCACUAGCAGAAAGACCCGUGAACUCGUUUACAAAACACCGAGGGUCGGCGCUCGCCGCCGUCCCUCAAAUCAACGAACCCCGGCGCGGAUUGCGCCAAGGACUAUGAACAUAAGCGCCCCGCACGCCUCCAGGGUAACCUGAAGCGCGGGCGGCGACGUGUCGUUUCGAUACAAAUUAAACGACUCUCGGCAACGGAUAUCUCGGCUCUCGCAUCGAUGAAGAACGUAGCGAAAUGCGAUACUUGGUGUGAAUUGCAGAAUCCCGUGAACCAUCGAGUCUUUGAACGCAAGUUGCGCCAGAAGCCUUCGGGCCAAGGGCACGUCUGCCUGGGCGUCACACACCGCGUCGCCCUCAUCCCUUCCAAGGGUUGGGGCGGAGACUGGCCCCCCGUGCGCUCCCAGCUCGCGGUCGGCCUAAAUACGGACCCCGUGGCCGCGAAAUGCCGCGACGAUUGGUGGUGUACUUCAUGGCCUCGCGUCGCGUCUUCCGUGGCCCUCGGGUGUUCUAAGGACCCCUCAACCUUUGCGACCCCGGGUCAGGCGGGUAUUCAUCCCGCUGAGUUUAAGCAUAUC